rnacentral:rRNA from 1 species
UACUACGGCCAUGCUACCCUGAACAUGCCGAAUCCCAUCUGAUCUCGGAAGCUAAGCAGGGUUGGGACUGGUUAGUACUUGGAUGGGAGACCACCUAGAAAGACUAAGUGCUAUAGGUG